GUCUAGAGGCUUCGGCAAUGGGGGAAACCCUGACCGAGCGACGCCGCGUGUGGGACGAAGGUCUUACGAUUGUAAACCACUGUCAGUGGGGAAGAAUGCCUGUAUGGACAAUACGGGAGUGACGGUACCCACGGAGGAAGCCCCGGCUAACUACGUGCCAGCAGCCGCGGUAAUACGUAGGGGGCAAGCGUUGUUCGGAUUCACUGGGCGUAAAGCGUGUGUAGGCGGUUUGGCAAGUCCGGCGUGAAAUCUCCACUGCUUAACAGGGAGACGCCGUUGGAAACUGCCAGGCUAGAGGGUGGGAGAGGAAAGUGGAAUUCCAGGUGUAGCGGUGGAAUGCGCAGAUAUCUGGAAGAACACCAGUGGCGAAGGCGGCUUUCUGGACCACUCCUGACGCUGAGACACGAAAGCCAGGGGAGCAAACGGGAUUAGAUACCCUAGUAGUCC
rnacentral:rRNA from 1 species